rnacentral:rRNA from 1 species
GACGAACACUGGCGGCGUGCUUAACACAUGCAAGUCGAACGGAAAGGCCCUGCUUUUGUGGGGUGCUCGAGUGGCGAACGGGUGAGUAACACGUGAGUAACCUGCCCUUGACUUUGGGAUAACUUCAGGAAACUGGGGCUAAUACCGGAUAGGAGCUCCUGCUGCAUGGUGGGGGUUGGAAAGUUUCGGCGGUUGGGGAUGGACUCGCGGCUUAUCAGCUUGUUGGUGGGGUAGUGGCUUACCAAGGCUUUGACGGGUAGCCGGCCUGAGAGGGUGACCAGCCACAUUGGGACUGAGAUACGGCCCAGACUCCUACGGGAGGCAGCAGUGGGGAAUAUUGCACAAUGGGCGGAAGCCUGAUGCAGCAACGCCGCGUGCGGGAUGACGGCCUUCGGGUUGUAAACCGCUUUCGCCUGUGACGAAGCGUGAGUGACGGUAAUGGGUAAAGAAGCACCGGCUAACUACGUG